rnacentral:rRNA from 1 species
GACGAACCGUGCGAACGUUGUUCGGAAUUACUGGGCGUAAAGCGUGCGCAGGCGGUGAUGCAAGACAGAUGUGAAAUCCCCGGGCUUAACCUGGGAACUGCAUUUGUGACUGCAUUGCUGGAGUGCGGCAGAGGGGGAUGGAAUUCCGCGUGUAGCAGUGAAAUGCGUAGAUAUGCGGAGGAACACCGAUGGCGAAGGCAAUCCCCUGGGCCUGCACUGACGCUCAUGCACGAAAGCGUGGGGAGCAAACAGG